rnacentral:rRNA from 1 species
CUAUUAAAGAAUUUCGGUCAUCGAUGGGGAUGCGUUCCAUUAGGUUGUUGGCGGGGUAACGGCCCACCAAGCCUUCGAUGGAUAGGGGUUCUGAGAGGAAGGUCCCCCACAUUGGAACUGAGACACGGUCCAAACUCCUACGGGAGGCAGCAGUGAGGAAUAUUGGUCAAUGGACGAGAGUCUGAACCAGCCAAGUAGCGUGAAGGAUGACUGCCCUAUGGGUUGUAAACUUCUUUUAUACGGGAAUAAAGUGAGGCACGUGUGCCUUUUUGUAUGUACCGUAUGAAUAAGGAUCGGCUAACUCCGUGCCAGCAGCCGCGGUAAUACGGAGGAUCCGAGCGUUAUCCGGAUUUAUUGGGUUUAAAGGGAGCGUAGGCGGACGCUUAAGUCAGUUGUGAAAGUUUGCGGCUCAACCGUAAAAUUGCAGUUGAUACUGGGUGUCUUGAGUACAGUAGAGGCAGGCGGAAUUCGUGGUGUAGCGGUGAAAUGCUUAGAUAUCACGAAGAACUCCGAUUGCGAAGGCAGCUUGCUGGACUGUAACUGACGCUGAUGCUCGAAAGUGUGGGUAUCAAACAGGAUUAGAUACCCUGGUAGUCCACACAGUAAACGAUGAAUACUCGCUGUUUGCGAUAUACAGUAAGCGGCC